rnacentral:tRNA from 1 species
GGUGGAUUGCCGGAGCGGACGAACGGACCCGAAUGCAACUCGGUCGUAUUGCCAUGCGGGUUCGACUCCCGCAUCCACCA